UGGGGAAUUUUGGACAAUGGGCGAAAGCCUGAUCCAGCAAUGCCGCGUGUGUGAAGAAGGCCUUCGGGUUGUAAAGCACUUUUGUCCGGAAAGAAAUCCUUGGCUCUAAUACAGUCGGGGGAUGACGGUACCGGAAGAAUAAGCACCGGCUAACUACGUGCCAGCAGCCGCGGUAAUACGUAGGGUGCAAGCGUUAAUCGGAAUUACUGGGCGUAAAGCGUGCGCAGGCGGUUUGCUAAGACCGAUGUGAAAUCCCCGGGCUCAACCUGGGAACUGCAUUGGUGACUGGCAGGCUAGAGUAUGGCAGAGGGGGGUAGAAUUCCACGUGUAGCAGUGAAAUGCGUAGAGAUGUGGAGGAAUACCGAUGGCGAAGGCAGCCCCCUGGGCCAAUACUGACGCUCAUGCACGAAAGCGUGGGGGAGCAAACAGGAUUCAGAUACCCUGGUAGUCCACGCCCUAAACGAUGUCAACUAGUUGUUGGGGAUUCAUUUCCUAGUAACGUAGCUAACGCGUGAAGUUGACCGCCUGGGGAGUACGGUCGCAAGAUU
rnacentral:rRNA from 1 species